GGCUAAAUACGACCACGAGACCGAUAGCGAACAAGUACCGUGAGGGAAAGUUGAAAAGCACUUUGAAGAGAGAGUUCAAGAGUACGUGAAACCGUUUAGGGGUAAACCUGAGAAACCCGAAAGGUCGAAGGGAGAAAUUCAUUCGCGUCUCGAGGCAGGCGUCGGACGGGGUCGAGCGACGGAACGGGCGCGCGUUUUUCUUCGGAAUCGCGCGUUCGACUUCGCGCCCUCCGUCCGUUCGAACCGGCAGCGAACGCGUGCACUUUUCUCCUGGUAGGACGUCGCGAUCCGUCGGGCGUCGGUCUACGACUUGCGGCGGAGACCGUCCGUCGUUCUUCGGAACGUACGGCGCGGACCCGCUCGUUCCGGCCGACUCGCUCGACGGUACAAAUCGAGGUCUGGGGUCGCUGCUACUUUUAGUCUCGCGUUCGCGCGAGACGAAAAAGAGAGCGUUCGACUCGUCGCAAGCGCGUCACGUGCGUCGGCACGCGGACCCGGUGCCGCGUCCGAUCUCUGGCGACUGUUGGCGACGAUUAGUUCUCGAACAGACUUCCCUCUCGGGGGUGGGGGGAGAGAGGGGUCAAACUCUUUCUCUCUCUCUCUCUCUCGAAGACCGAUCGGCGACG
rnacentral:rRNA from 1 species